GGCAGAGACACAGAGCUUUUGUGGGGCAAUGUGAAUACUCUCAGUAGAGAUCCUUCCUCCCUUAUGUGGGUGAAAAUGCCCAGUGGAGGCAAAAAGCAUGUGAUUUGCUGAUAACAGUCCUGGGUUUGGGGUUAUUACCAGAAAAACUCCUACAAACAUUUGUGUAACGUCUUUGUGUGGACAUGUUUUCAUUCUUGGGGGUACAUCCAGGAGGAAUGUAAGACAAAGCCUUUCUGGAAUGUACAAGACAGCUGCUUCUUUAACCCUGUCCACCCAGCACCUGCCUUGGAACCACCUGGGGGCAUCUGGUAACAAGCAGCUUCCUGGGCCCAAGCCCCUCUUCUUGAAGCUGGACUAGAAGGCCCCAAGAAGGAGAGUGACUUCAUCAUGGGGCUAGGGCUGAUCUGGAACAGAAAACCCAGGGUGGAUGGGAGAGAGAGAAUAAGGG
ensembl:lncRNA